ensembl:lncRNA
GCAGUAAAGUCCUGAGUGUUGGAGUCUGGAAACCAACGGGCGGCUGGGGCCGCUUCGGGUUCAGACACAGACCGAGUUCUGUGGGGCUUGAAACCGGGCUCAAGGAACACAGAUCUGGGGCUCAGAAACGGAGUCCGGAGCCCGGCUCAUGUGGUCAGUUGCGGGGCUCAAUGAGAGCCCCAGUCCUGUGUUUUGGUGCUCAAAAGCCAGGGUCAGAGCUUAGAAGCGCAGUCCCGUGUAUGGCAGCCUUGAGGUGACUCCUGUGCUGAUGCCGGGGCUCAGACACAGACCCAGGCCUGCACUCGGGGGCUCACACCCACACUCCUUGCCCAGCUUUGGGGCCCUAGGGUCAGCUCCGCGGCUCCAGGACGGAUGCGGCGGUGCCCGGCCCGUGAAUGGCUCCGCCGCGGCCAACACCGGCAAGGGGCGGCCCCGACCGAGGGACCCACUGCCAUCGCCGGCGGAAGAGGCGGAGCGGGGGGCGGAGGGAGGCGGAGCCGAAGUGGUUUGAACCUUGGCGGCUGCCGUACGCGCUGCGUUGUCUCUCUCUGCGCAGGCGUCGUCACGGCCGGUCCGGGCUCCCCCGGAGGGGCACAGGGAAACCUUCUGAAAUGCUUGAACCAACUAUGAGGAAUAACAAAACUGGGACGAAUAUCUGCAUACACAGAAAAACACCUCAAACUGACCUUCAGGUUAUAUUCUCUUGGAUAAAACAGAACAUGAAACAGUGAUGCCACCUGAGUUUUCAAUAAGAUCUGCUGAAAUAAACCAACAAGAAGUACAACAGGAUCCCAGAACAAGCUGAAGUAUGGAAAUCGCAAAAUCUUCACCUUCCAAUGGGAGAUGAUCAGUUCUUCAUAGUUGGAAAGCCAUUUACUUAAAAAGAAAAGAAGAAAUACUAGUAAAGCACACCAGCAGGUUAAUUCUGUUUAUACACACACUGAACUAAAAGGAACAUCAGCAGUUUUAAUACCCCAGAAAAAACACUAGAAGCUUUAACAGUUUUGCUAGACACUGCAGAAGUACCCAGCAGAAUUAGGUUUCCUAGCUUCAACAACCACAAAAGUAAGUACUACAAAGUGUAUCAUCUUUGUGCAACAAAUCAUACUUGGGGGCAUUUUUUUAUUAAUUAGUUCAAAAUGAGGUUCCCAAACCAUCAUUUAGGAGUACAUAAAGUCUAUGUGCUUCAUGUUUCUCAAAGCACUUUCAGUUGUGCUUUGGACACUGGGUAAUAUUUAAGGCAAAAGCCAUUUUUGAUGCUGCAUUGAAUACUUUAAUGGCACUAUAACUCACUGUUCACUGCUGCCUACCAUUAGGUUUAGAAAACAGAAGAAGGUUAGAGCGAACUACUCAAGUAAAUGUGACAGCCUGUCCCUGAUGAGCUUAAGAGGGCCAAAACACAACUUCAGUGAAGUUCCUCCUUCCAACUUAACAAGUAUACAAGAUCUAGAAACAUUCACAUACAACUCUAGGCUAAGUCAGCCAAAAAAGCAAAAUUCUAUCAUGCUUUGCUUUAAAGCCUAACACAUUCAAGGCCAUUAAAACCUUAGUAACUAAAAAUGUGUCAAGUGUAAGGUUUUAUGAGUGUAAAUCCAUAUCUGCAGCCCUGGACAGGUCAGUGCAUUAAUACAAAGAGUUCUCUUUUGGCAAAUCUAUGUUGAUUCAGAGAGGCAUCUGUAAAAGCUCACAGGGCAGUCAAAGGCCAAAAUAACAAACUUAUACCACACUAAUCCUUUCAAAAGGAAAGCAAACAAACAUGAAUCUUGGUUGAGAUUCUUUCAUGCUCUUCAUUGCUUUGCAUGUAAAAUCCUAUCCCAUGCCUCUGUGUAUUUAACACAAUCUACAGUCAGUCUUUCUGACAAGGACUGAGGUUAAUGACUUACAAGCAUCUAUUUGUAUAUUUAAUGCAUCUGUGGAAGCUUUUCUAGCCCAAGCUCCAGUUUCGUCUUACUAGGCAGAACCACUCUUAGUACAGUUCUAGUAUCCAGUGUACAGUAGUUCUGUUCAAGUUAAAGCUGUAUUGUGGUUUACUCAUGCACUACAGUAACGUGCACAGGCAUCUAACUAGAGAAUUCAGUCUGAAAAGGUACGUUGAAUGGGUGGCAAAGAGAUAUGUAAAACUAUCAGCAUUAAUAUUACUCAUGUUGGAAGAGGCAGUAUUACUUAAAACCAAACUGACUCCUUGACAUCCUUGAAAGAGGGGCUCUGAGACCAAAACCAAAGCGUCAAGAAUUUGGUGCAGUUUGGGGAGGAAACAACAUGGAAGAAUUAAUAUUGUACAGAUUGUGUUUGUAGGCAAAAGUGACGCUGGAGCAUUGCUAAGAACAUG